ensembl:lncRNA
GGCUCUUCUUCUGUUUCCUACCGCUAGAGCUCCACAAGCACAGCGGAAUACAGUUUCUCAACACUACAUUUGUGCACUAGAGAGAGAAAAAGGUGGCACCGACUGUUAAGCAGUGCACCAAAUGCUUUCCUGAUCUGCCAUCGAGACAUCCACAAAGCUUUUGGGCAACAGAGCUCUAGCAAGCAGUCUUCAGAGCCCUCAACAUGCCCACAACAGAAUCUCAUUGCCUUCACUGUAACCGGUCACGUUUCCAAAGGGUAUAUUCCGUGCCUUUCAGUGAUGUUACUUCAGAAAACAUCCUUCAAAAGACAUUGUUCUGCAUCGUGGCUGUGGCCAAAGUAACAUUAUC